GACAGAGGGUGCAAACGUUGUUCGGAAUUACUGGGCGUAAAGCGUGCGUAGGCGGUCUCUUAAGUCGGAUGUGAAAGCCCGGGCUCAACCCGGGAAGUGCACUCGAAACUGGGAGGCUAGAGUACUGGAGAGGUUGGUGGAAUUCUCGGUGUAGAGGUGAAAUUCGUAGAUAUCGAGAGGAACACCGGUGGCGAAGGCGGCCGAACUGGACAGAUACUGACGCUGAGACACGAAAGCGUG
rnacentral:rRNA from 1 species